GACGAACGCUGGCGGCGUGCUUAACACAUGCAAGUCGAACGGAAAGGCCCUGCUUUUGUGGGGUGCUCGAGUGGCGAACGGGUGAGUAACACGUGAGUAACCUGCCCUUGACUUUGGGAUAACUUCAGGAAACUGGGGCUAAUACCGGAUAGGAGCUCCUGCUGCAUGGUGGGGGUUGGAAAGUUUCGGCGGUUGGGGAUGGACUCGCGGCUUAUCAGCUUGUUGGUGGGGUAGUGGCUUACCAAGGCUUUGACGGGUCGCCGGCCUGAGAGGGUGAACGGGGACAAUGGGCCUGAGAGACGGAGCAGACUCCUACGGUAGGCAGCAGUGGGGAAUCUGGCACAAUGGGAGGAAGCCUGAUGAAGAAACGCCGCGUGUGGGAUGACGGCCUGCGGGGUGUAAACAGCUUUCGCCUGUGACGAAGCGGGAGUGACGGUAAUGGGUAAAGAAGCACCGGCUAACUACGUG
rnacentral:rRNA from 1 species